UGAGUAGCACAGAUGAUCGCACCUAUAAAUGCCGAAAGGCUUUAGGUGAGGAAAGUCCGAGCUUCAUAGGGCAGGAUGCCGGAUAACGUCCGGUGGAGGCGACUCCAAGGCUAGUGCAACAGAAAUAUACCACACUGUUUAUGCAGUGCCAGGGUGGAAAGGUGAGGUAAGAGCUUACCGCACCUUUGGUAACAAAGGUGGCAGAUGUAAACCCCAUCCGAAGCAAGACCGAACAGAAAGCUAUGUGGCUGCCCGUCACGCUUUCGGGUAGGCCGCUUGAGUCUGGUGGCAACACCAGAACCAGAUAGAUGAUCAUCGAAUACAGAACUCGGCUUAUAGUGCUGCUCAUUUA
rnacentral:RNase_P_RNA from 1 species